AGUGAACGCUGGCGGUAGGCCUAACACAUGCAAGUCGAACGGCAGCACAGUAAGAGCUUGCUCUUACGGGUGGCGAGUGGCGGACGGGUGAGGAAUACAUCGGAAUCUACUUUUUCGUGGGGGAUAACGUAGGGAAACUUACGCUAAUACCGCAUACGACCUACGGGUGAAAGCAGGGGAUCUUCGGACCUUGCGCGAUUGAAUGAGCCGAGGUCGGAUUAGCUAGUUGGCGGGGUAAAGGCCCACCAAGGCGACGAUCCGUAGCUGGUCUGAGAGGUUGAUCGCCCACACUGGAACUGGGACACGGCCCAGACUCCUACGGGAGGCACCAGUGGGGAAUAUCGGACAUAGGGCCCAAGCCUGACCCAGCCAUCCCGCGUGGGUGAAGAAGGCCUUCGAUUUGUAAAGCCCGUUUUUUGUGAAAGAAAAGCAGCAGGUUAAUACCCCGCUGUUCUGACGGUACCCUAAGAAUAAGCACCGGCUAACUUCGUG
rnacentral:rRNA from 1 species